GACGAACGCUGGCGGCGUGCCUAAUACAUGCAAGUCGAACGCUUCUUUCCUCCCGAGUGCUUGCACUCAAUUGGAAAGAGGAGUGGCGGACGGGUGAGUAACACGUGGGUAACCUACCCAUCAGAGGGGGAUAACACUUGGAAACAGGUGCUAAUACCGCAUAACAGUUUAUGCCGCAUGGCAUAAGAGUGAAAGGCGCUUUCGGGUGUCGCUGAUGGAUGGACUCGCGGUGCAUUAGCUAGUUGGUGAGGUAACGGCUCACCAAGGCCACGAUGCAUAGCCGACCUGAGAGGGUGAUCGGCCACACUGGGACUGAGACACGGCCCAGACUCCUACGGGAGGCAGCAGUAGGGAAUCUUCGGCAAUGGACGAAAGUCUGACCGAGCAACGCCGCGUGAGUGAAGAAGGUUUUCGGAUCGUAAAACUCUGUUGUUAGAGAAGAACAAGGACGUUAGUAACUGAACGUCCCCUGACGGUAUCUAACCAGAAAGCCACGGCUAACUACGUG
rnacentral:rRNA from 1 species